ACGCAUUCAAGACAUAUUAGGGCUGCAUGAACUCAACUCACCAUGGGAAGGUCCCUACAUCAUAUCCAAGGUCACAGGGCCUAGAUCAUACCGACUACAGGAACUCUCAGGCGAAGAAGUACCAAACUCUUCGAAUAUAGAGCAUCUAUUUUGCUACUACCCAUAGCAAACUACAGGACAUGUACUCGGGUCUUCACCCACAGUUUAUUAAACAACAAAGUUCUUUGGCAAACACUACCUAUCUUUGCCUCCGCUUGGAUAUUCACAGCCACUUGAGCUCUUCAGCUCUGCGAGCCCCAGCGCUCUGCCUUCGACUUGAUUCCAUCAAGUCUCUUCGAGUUAUCACAAUGUAACGACCUCGGCUAAAAUCCUUCACGCUAAUCUUAAUCCGAGUCCCUGAUCCCCUGUCACAGCUUUACCAAGUCUAAAUGCUCAACCUCCAGUUCAGUCCCGACCCCUGUGAUCCGACCCCUCGCCGUUUUCCCCCAGUUCCGACCCCGCCGACCCCAACUCGCCCGCCGGAUCUUUCUAAGUCCUCCCACAACGCCUCCCUUCAAUCUGAGCAGUGGACCACCG
rnacentral:lncRNA from 1 species